rnacentral:rRNA from 1 species
AGAAAGGGCGCACGGUGGAUGCCUUGGCACUAGGAGCCGAAGAAGGACGGGACUAACACCGAUAUGCUUUGGGGAGCUGUACGUAAGCGUUGAUCCAGAGAUUUCCGAAUGGGGGAACCCACUAUCUUUAGUCGGAUAGUAUCCUUACGUGAAUACAUAGCGUGAGGAAGGCAGACCCAGGGAACUGAAACAUCUAAGUACCUGGAGGAAGAGAAAGAAAAAUCGAUUUCCUGAGUAGCGGCGAGCGAAACGGAAAGAGCCCAAACCAAGAAGCUUGCUUCUUGGGGUUGUAGGACACUCUAUACGGAGUUACAAAAGAAAGUUAUAAAUGAAGCGGUCUGGAAAGGCCCGCCAAAGACGGUAACAGCCCGGUAGUUGAAAUGGCUUUCCCUCCAGAGUGGAUCCUGAGUACGGCGGAACACGUGAAAUUCCGUCGGAAUCCGGGAGGACCAUCUCCCAAGGCUAAAUACUCCCUAGUGACCGAUAGUGAACCAGUACCGUGAGGGAAAGGUGAAAAGCACCCCGGAAGGGGAGUGAAACAGUUCCUGAAACCGUGUGCCUACAAGUAGUUAGAGCCCGUUAAUGGGUGAUAGCGUGCCUUUUGUAGAAUGAACCGGCGAGUUACGAUUUGUUGCAAGGUUAAGCGGAAAAAGCGGAGCCGUAGCGAAAGCGAGUCUGAAUAGGGCGCAUAAGUAACAGGUCGUAGACCCGAAACCAGGUGAUCUACCCAUGUCCAGGAUGAAGGUAAGGUAAUACUUACUGGAGGUCCGAACCCACGCACGUUGAAAAGUGCGGGGAUGAGGUGUGGGUAGCGGAGAAAUUCCAAUCGAACUUGGAGAUAGCUGGUUCUCUCCGAAAUAGCUUUAGGGCUAGCCUCGAGGUAAAGAGUCAUGGAGGUAGAGCACUGUUUGGACUAGGGGCCCUUCUCGGGUUACCGAAUUCAGAUAAACUCCGAAUGCCAUGUACUUAUACUCGGGAGUCAGACUGCGAGUGAUAAGAUCCGUAGUCGAAAGGGAAACAGCCCAGACCACCAGUUAAGGUCCCCAAAUAUAUGUUAAGUGGAAAAGGAUGUGGGGUUGCUUAGACAACCAGGAUGUUGGCUUAGAAGCAGCCACCAUUGAAAGAGUGCGUAAUAGCUCACUGGUCGAGUGACCCCGCGCCGAAAAUGUACCGGGGCUAAACAUAUUACCGAAACUGUGGAUGAACCUCUUCGGAGGUUCGUGGUAGGAGAGCGUUCUAAGGGCGGUGAAGUCAGACCGGAAGGACUGGUGGAGCGCUUAGAAGUGAGAAUGCCGGUAUGAGUAGCGAAAGAAGGGUGAGAAUCCCUUCCACCGAAUAUCUAAGGUUUCCUGAGGAAGGCUCGUCCGCUCAGGGUUAGUCGGGACCUAAGCCGAGGCCGAUAGGCGUAGGCGAUGGACAACAGGUAGAGAUUCCUGUACCAGUGCUAAUUGUUUAACCGAUGGGGUGACACAGAAGGAUAGGGAAUCGCACGAAUGGAAAUGUGCGUCCAAGCAGUGAGUGUGA